GGUUAAGAGUGAGGUUGGAUUAAUUUAAGAUUUUGAUGACACCUUCUUGGCAUUUUUUCAAGAUGUACUCGUGCACAUUCUGUGUUCAUGCCACAUUCCAGGAAAACAUGAGGAAAGACAGACAAAGAACAACUCUGCUAUGAACUCACCUUUUCUAUAUUCUUAAAAGCUAGUUUUUAUAAAAUGUAGUUCUCUGAAAAGUAUGCCGCUGAGAGGAUAACAGAAUGAAAAAAAUCAAGGUCA